rnacentral:rRNA from 1 species
CUAUGCGCCUUGCCAGCCCGCUCAGGUGUGCCAGCCGCCGCGGUAAUACGGAGGAUGCGAGCGUUAUCCGGAUUUAUUGGGUUUAAAGGGUGCGUAGGCGGACUGUCAAGUCAGCGGUAAAAUACGGGGGCUCAACCUCCGCCCGCCGUUGAAACUGACGGUCUUGAGUGGGCGAGAAGUAUGCGGAAUGCGUGGUGUAGCGGUGAAAUGCAUAGAUAUCACGCAGAACUCCGAUUGCGAAGGCAGCAUACCGGCGCCCGACUGACGCUGAGGCACGAAAGCGUGGGGAUCGAACAGG